rnacentral:rRNA from 1 species
UACGUAGGGUGCGAGCGUUGCCCGGAAUUAUUGGGCGUAAAGAGCUCGUAGGCGGUCUGUCGCGUCGAUCGUGAAAACUUGGGGCUUAACCCUGAGCUUGCGGUCGAUACGGGCAUGACUGGAGUUCGGCAGGGGAGACUGGAAUUCCUGGUGUAGCGGUGAAAUGCGCAGAUAUCAGGAAGAACACCCGUGGCGAAGGCGGCUCUCUGGGACGGUACUGACGCUGAGACGCGAAAGCGUGGGGAGCGAACAGG